rnacentral:rRNA from 1 species
UCGUGCGAGAAGGAGACUUCGGUCUCUGAGUAGAGCGGCGCACGGGUGAGUAACGCGUGGAUGAUCUACCCUUGAGUUCGGGAUAACGGUGCGAAAGCGCCGCUAAUACCGUAUAACAAUCCAUUUCAUCGUGGGUUCAAAGCAGGCCUCUUCAUGAAAGCUUGCGCUUGGGGAUGAGUCCGCGUCCCAUUAGCUUGUUGGCGGGGUAACGGCCCACCAAGGCUACGAUGGGUAGCUGGUCUGAGAGGAUGAUCAGCCACACUGGAACUGAAACACGGUCCAGACUCCUACGGGAGGCAGCAGUGGGGAAUAUUGCGCAAUGGGGGAAACCCUGACGCAGCGACGUCGUGUGAGGGAAGAAGGCCUUCGGGUCGUAAACCUCUGUCAGAAGGGAAGAACAUCCGGGAGUCGAACAGCCUCCCGGCCUGACGGUACCUUCAGAGGAAGCGCCGGCUAACUCCGUGCCAGCAGCCGCGGUAAUACGGAGGGCGCAAGCGUUAAUCGGAAUCACUGGGCGUAAGGCGUGCGUAGGCUGUUUGAUAAGUCAGACGUGAAAUCCCUCGGCUCAACCGGGGAACUGCGUUUGAUACUGAGGAUCUUGAGUUCGGGAGAGGUGAGUGGAAC